UACGAAGGGGGGCUAGCGUUGCUCGGAAUCACUGGGCGUAAAGGGUGCGUAGGCGGGUCUUUAAGUCAGGGGUGAAAUCCUGGAGCUCAACUCCAGAACUGCCUUUGAUACUGAGAUCUUGAGUCGGGAGAGGUGAGUGGAACUGCGAGUGUAGAGGUGAAAUUCGUAGAUAUUCGCAAGAACACCAGUGGCGAAGGCGGCUCACUGGCC
rnacentral:rRNA from 1 species